UACGGAGGGUGCAAGCGUUAUCCGGAUUCACUGGGUUUAAAGGGUGCGUAGGUGGGCAGGUAAGUCAGUGGUGAAAUCUCCGGGCUUAACUCGGAAACUGCCAUUGAUACUAUCUUUCUUGAAUACCGUGGAGGUCAGCGGAAUAUGUCAUGUAGCGGUGAAAUGCUUAGAUAUGACUAGAACACCAAUUGCGAAGGCAGCUGGCUACACGAAUAUUGACACUGAUGCACGAAAAGCGUGGGGAUCAAACAGGG
rnacentral:rRNA from 1 species